UAAAAAGCUCGUAGUUGGAUCUGUGUAUCGGACGGCCGGUUCGCUGCUCGCAGCGUUUAACUGGUCGGUCCGGACGUCCUGCCGGUGGGCGUCCGCGCAAGCGGGCGUCCGUACUACCCUCCGGGCUGCUCUUAACCGGGUGGCCCGGUGGGCCGGCACGUUUACUUUGAACAAAUUUGAGUGCUCAAAGCAGGCCUUUGGUUGCCUGAAAACUGUGUGCAUGGAAUAAUGGAAUAGGGCCUCGGUUCUAUUUUGUUGGCUUUUCUGAACUUGAGGUAAUGAUUAAUAGGGACAGACGGGGGCAUUCGUAUUGCGACGUUAGAGGUGAAAUUCUUGGAUCGUCGCAAGACGAACGGAUGCGAAAGCGUUUGCCAAGAAUGUUUUCGCUAAUCAAGAACGAAAGUUAGAGGUUCGAAGGCGAUCAGAUACCGCCCUAGUUCUAACCAUAAACGAUGCCAGCCAGCGAUGCGCCGAAGUUCCUCCGAUGACUCGGCGCGCAGCUUCCAGGAAACCAAAGCUUUUGGGUUCCGGGG
rnacentral:rRNA from 1 species